rnacentral:rRNA from 1 species
UCGGAGAGGGCGCCUGAGAAACGGCUACCACAUCUAAGGAAGGCAGCAGGCGCGUAAAUUACCCAAUCCUGAUUCAGGGAGGUAGUGACAAGAAAUAACAACCUGGGGAUCUCAUGAUCUUACGGGAUUGCAAUGAGAACAAUUUAAAUCUCUUAACGAGUAACAAUUGGAGGGCAAGUCUGGUGCCAGCAGCCGCGGUAAUUCCAGCUCCAAUAGCGUAUAUUAAAGUUGUUGCAGUUAAAAAGCUCGUAGUUGAACUUCUGGCGGCGUGCCGGUAAGGCUUCGGUCUGCCGGAUUAGCGUCGUCAUCCGCCUGCAAACCUCGUUCGACCUUCACUGGUUCGGCGAGUUGAGUAGACAAUUUACUUUGAAAAAAUUAGAGUGUUUCAAGCAGGCAAUAGCCCGAAUACUUUAGCAUGGAAUAAUGGAAUAGGACUCUGUCCAUAUAUUUAAAUUGGCUGUGGGCAUGAGUAAUGAUUAAUAGGGACAGUUGGGGGCAUUAGUAUUUAAUUGUCAGAGGUGAAAUUCUUGGAUUUAUUAAAGACUAACUAAUGCGAAAGCAUUUGCCAAGGAUGUUUUCAUUAAUCAAGAACGAAAGUUAGGGGAUCAAAGACGAUCAGAUACCGUCCUAGUCUUAACUAUAAACGAUGCCGACUCGGGAUUGGAAGGUGUACUAUAAAACCCUUUCAGCACCGUAAUGAGAAAUCAAAGUCUUUGGGUCUGGGGGAGUAUGGUCGCAAGGCUGAACUAAAGGAAUGACGGAAGGACACCACCAGGAGUGGGGCUGCGGCUUAAUUUGACUCAACGCGGGAAAACUUACCAGGUUAAAACAUGAGUGUGAUUGACAGAUUGAGAGCUCUUUCUUGAUUGUAUGGGUGGUGGUGCAUGGCCGUUCUUAGUUGGUGGAGUGAUUUGUCUGGUUAAUUCCGUUAACGAACGAGACCUUAACCUGCUAACUAGUUCCUUCGUGCUUUAACGGGGGAUACUUCUUAGAGGGACUAUGGGAUUCAAGCCCAUGGAAGUUUGAGGCAAUAACAGGUCUGUGAUGCCCCUAGAUAUCCUGGGCCGCACGCGUUCCACAAUGACUUGUUCAGAAAGUACCAUCCUGGCUCGGAAAAGUACGGGUAACCUUUUCAAUGCAAGUCGUAUUAGGGAUCGAUCUUUGGAAUUAUAGAUCUUGAACGAGGAAUUCCUAGUAAGUGCAAGUCAUCAGCUUGUACUGAUUACGUCCCUGCCCUUUGUACACACCGCCCGUCGCUCCUACCGAUUUCGAGUGAUAAGGUGAACCUUCUGGACUGCUUUCGAGCGGGAAGUUAAGUAAACCUUAUUACUUAGAGGAAGGAGAAGUCGUAACAAGGUAGCCGU